CCCUUAGAUGUUCUGGGCCGCACGCGCGCUACAAUGGUCUUCGCAAACGGAUGCAUUCUCGAAGGAGAAUGCCAAUCUUGGAAUCUAUGCCUUGGUCGGGACGGUUGCUUGCAAUUUUUCGACUCGAACCAGGAAUUCCUUGUAAUCGUGAUUCAUCACAUCACGAUGAAUACGUCCCUGCCCUUUGUACACACCGCCCGUCGCUCCUACCGAUCGAAGAGUUAGGUGAAUUGUUUUGAUCGAUAAGAUUUGACUAUGGUCAACUCUCGUUGUGAAAUUCUGUGAAUCUGACUGUUUAGAGGAAGGAAAAGUCGUAACA
rnacentral:rRNA from 1 species